rnacentral:rRNA from 1 species
AGAGUUUGAUCCUGGCUCAGGAUGAACGCUGGCGGCGUGCCUAAUACAUGCAAGUCGAGCGAACGGACGAGAAGAUUGCUUCUCUGAUGUUAGCGGCGGACGGGUGAGUAACACGUGGAUAACCUACCUAUAAGACUGGGAUAACUUCGGGAAACCGGAGCUAAUACCGGAUAAUAUUUUGAACCGCAUGGUUCAAAAGUGAAAGACGGUCUUGCUGUCACUUAUAGAUGGAUCCGCGCUGCAUUAGCUAGUUGGUAAGGUAACGGCUUACCAAGGCAACGAUGCAUAGCCAACCUGAGAGGGUGAUCGGCCACACUGGAACUGAGACACGGUCCAGACUCCUACGGGAGGCAGCAGUAGGGAAUCUUCCGCAAUGGGCGAAAGCCUGACGGAGCAACGCCGCGUGAGUGAUGAAGGUCUUCGGAUCGUAAAACUCUGUUAUUAGGGAAGAACAUAUGUGUAAGUAACUGUGCACAUCUUGACGGUACCUAAUCAGAAAGCCACGGCUAACUACGUGCCAGCAGCCGCGGUAAUAC